CGGCAGAUGCCCGGCCCCGGCGGGCAGCGUGGCCUGCGGCCCUGGCCUCCGCUGCAGCGCUCGCCUGGCCCGGAGGCAAUGUGGACAUUGAGCAGCUGGAUCCCCGCGGCCGGACUCCCCUGCACCUGGCCACCACGCUGGGGCACCUUGAGUGUGCCCGUGUGCUCCUGGCGCACGGCGCAGACGUGGGCAGGGAGAAUCGCAGCGGCUGGACAGGUGGGCAGCCCUGCUCACCCCAGCCCCACAGCCGGGGCCUCCCCAGCAUCAUAGACCUAUGGUUGGCUGAAGGGUCCUGCCCUGUGACCUUGCCUCCCCCUCCCCCAGUGCUCCAGGAGGCUGCCCAGGACUUCUACGUGGAGAUGAAAUGGGAGUUCACUAGCUGGGUGCCCCUGGUGUCCAAGAUCUGCCCUAGUGACACCUACAAAGUGUGGAAGAGCGGCCAGAACCUGAGGGUAGACACCACACUCCUGGGCUUUGACCACAUGACCUGGCAGCGAGGGAACCGCAGCUUUGUCUUCAGGGGCCAAGACACAAGCGCCGUGGUCAUGGAGAUUGACCACGACCGCCGGGUGGUGUACACAGAGACUCUGGCACUGGCUGGGCAGGACCGGGAGCUGCUGCUGGCUGCUGCUCAGCCCACUGAGGAACAGGUGCUGAGCCGGCUUACCGCGCCCGUCGUCACCACUCAGCUUGACACCAAGAAUAUCUCCUUUGAGAGGUGGGUGGACAUGGCCUUGGUCACCCUUGAGCCAGCCCGGUGGGGUGCCUGCCUCACCUGGACCACUCUGCUUCCCCAGGAACAAGACUGGCAUCCUGGGCUGGCGCAGUGAAAAGACGGAGAUGGUGAAUGGGUAUGAAGCUAAGGUGUAUGGGGCAUCUAACGUGGAGCUCAUCACCCGCACACGGACAGAACAUCUUUCAGAACAGCACAAGGGCAAGGUCAAAGGCUGUAAGACACCUUUGCAGUCCUUCCUGGGAAUCGCUGAGCAGCACGGGGGCCCCCAAAAUGGGACCCUGAUCACUCAGACUCUGAGCCAAGCCAACCCCACUGCCAUCACUGCAGAAGAAUACUUCAACCCCAACUUUGAGCUGGGCAACCGUGAUAUGGGCCGCCCCAUGGAACUGACCACCAAGACACAGAAGUUCAAGGCCAAGCUGUGGCUGUGUGAGGAGCAUCCCCUGUCCCUGUGUGAGCAGGUGGCCCCUAUCAUUGACCUCAUGGCCGUCAGCAAUGCGCUUUUUGCCAAGCUCCGGGACUUCAUCACCCUGCGUCUGCCUCCUGGCUUCCCAGUUAAGAUUGAAAUCCCGAUCUUCCACAUCCUCAACGCCCGCAUCACCUUCGGGAACCUCAACGGCUGCGACGAACCGGUGCCAUCGGUGCGAGGCAGCCCCAGCAGCGAGACGCCUUCCCCAGGCAGCGACUCCUCCAGCGUCAGCAGCUCCAGCUCCACGACCUCCUGCCGCGGCUGCGAGAUCUCCCCGGCGUUGUUCGAGGCCCCGCGCGGCUACAGCGUGAUGGGCGGCCAGCGGGAGGCGGCGACCCGGGACGACGACGACGACCUGCUGCAAUUCGCCAUCCAGCAGAGCCUGCUUGAGGCGGGCAGUGAGUAUGACCAGGUGCGUCUCCGCGGGCGCGCGGGGCCACGGGACUCCGCGCCGCCACGGCUAACGCCCACGCCUCCCCGCAGGUCACCAUCUGGGAGGCGCUAACCAACAGCAAGCCAGGCACCCACCCCAUGUCCUACGAGGGUCGCCGACAGGACAGGAGCGCCCCGCCCACGCCGCAGCGCCAGCCUGCGCCCCCGGCGUCAGUGCCCAGCCCUCGGCCCAGCUCAGGGCCAGGUUCCGGCGGCCACGUGUUCCGGAGCUACGACGAGCAGCUGCGGCUGGCGAUGGAACUGUCGGCGCAGGAGCAGGAGGAGAGGCGGCGGCGCGCGCGCCAGGAGGAGGAGGAGCUGGAGCGCAUCCUGAGGCUCUCACUGACCGAGCAGUAGCGCCCCCUGCCGGGACCCUCGCCAGCGCCACGCGCGCCACGCCCAGGGCCAGGAGCCAGACAAACCUCGGCCUGCGCGCCUGCAGAGCGGCGGCUGGAGACUGGAGCCACCGCCUCGCGGGUGCAGCAGCACAGCAGGCACGGUUCGGGGAGGGAUUCGGCAUGGCCGCGGGGUACCUUCCCAGGCCAGGGCCCUGGAGGCAACUGGCACGGCCUGGUCCCCCUGCUUUGCUGUAUUCUGAUUCCCCAACCCGCUCCCCUGGGCUCAGAUCUGUCCUGUCCUAGGGCGGAGCCAGGCGGUCCUGAGGGGGAGAUGAAUCCUUAGAGGAGCGCUGUCCCUAUCCCUUGCUCCUUCUGGCCGGUCCGCAUUUCUGUUCACUAACCCCACUCCAGGACACUGCCCCUGAAGCCUUUGCAUCUCUGCUCUUCACUCCUGGGGGGCAGCUGAGCUCCCCGCGUGCUGUGUCACUGCUUUGUUCCAGACACAAACCAGCACGUCUAGGGCCCAGCCCCUCCCCCACCCCGGCAUUUCAGCGUCAAGUGCACUUAGCGGGGUACCCGGCUCCCCCAGCCCCCACACCCGUCCUGGGUCUCAGGGUGGUUCCAGCUUCUCCUUGGGCAGCCAGAAGUUGGAGUCCCAUCCCCCAAGGCACUUUUUUUUUUUUUUUUUUUUUUUUUUUUUUUUUUUUGUGAUCAGGGAGUGUGUCCAACGUAGCCCCCUGGCCUGUGCAAGCCCUGACUCCCUCAUGGUGCCUCGGAGAGUGGGGAGCAUAUUGGGCUGGGGUAAGCACUAGACCCGAGUAGACUGGACACAAAGGGCUCGCCCAGGGCCCAGGCGCCACCCCCACCCCUUCCCACCAGCUGCUGCUAGCCUCUGUGGUUGUACAUCCCACUUGCCCCCACACGGAGACUGACUCUAAAACCCUUCAUCCAAUGGUGCUAACCCCCGGCUCUCCCCUGCCCCACCUCACCCACCCAGAGAAGCACAGACCCCGCCAGGGGCAGGGGCCCACCGCACACCCUCGUCCCGGGCCUGUCUGGGACUGGCCUUCCCGGCUCAGCCAGUGAGGCUCAGAAGGGACACAAAGAGGGAUGGAAGAAAAGAACAAAGAGAAACUGUUCCUCCCACCCCCUUCCCUGAUGCCAGGGGCACCAGACUGAUUCUGAGGCACAAAUAAAAGAGGCUUCAUACCGGA
rnacentral:sRNA from 1 species